rnacentral:rRNA from 1 species
UGGGGAAUUUUGGACAAUGGGCGAAAGCCUGAUCCAGCAAUGCCGCGUGUGUGAAGAAGGCCUUCGGGUUGUAAAGCACUUUUGUCCGGAAAGAAAUCCUUGGCUCUAAUACAGUCGGGGGAUGACGGUACCGGAAGAAUAAGCACCGGCUAACUACGUGCCAGCAGCCGCGGUAAUACGUAGGGUGCAAGCGUUAAUCGGAAUUACUGGGCGUAAAGCGUGCGCAGGCGGUUUGCUAAGACCGAUGUGAAACCCCCGGGCUCAACCUGGGAACUGCAUUGGUGACUGGCAGGCUAGAGUAUGGCAGAGGGGGGUAGAGUUCCACGUGUAGCAGUGAAAUGCGUAGAGAUGUGGAGGAAUACCGAUGGCGAAGGCAGCCCCCUGGGCCAAUACUGACGCUCAUGCACGAAAGCGUGGGGAGCAAAACAGGAUUAGAUACCCUGGUAGUCCACGCCCUAAAACGAUGUCAACUAGUUGUUGGGGAUUCAUUUCCUUAGUAACGUAGCUAACGCGUGAAGUUGACCGCCUGGGGAGUACGGUCGCAAGAUUAAAACUCAAAUGAAUUGACGGGGUCAUAGCUGUUUCCU